CCUCUCCAGAUUCCUUACCCUGAGAUGGAAACAUUGGGUCUGAGUGGCUGAAAAAGGAGGAACAGUAAAAUUGACGUGGACUUGGCAUCUUCAAUGGUAUACAAGUUCAUUACAAAGAAAC
rnacentral:snoRNA from 1 species